rnacentral:rRNA from 1 species
GACGAACGCUGGCGGCGUGGAUUAGGCAUGCAAGUCGAACGGUAUCAUCCUUUCGGGGGUGAGAGAGUGGCGAACUGGUGAGUAACACGUAGGUUAUCUACCCUCAAGACGGGGACAACCCAGGGAAACUUGGGCUAAUACCGGAUGUGAGCAACUUUUAGUUGUUUGAAAGGUGGCGUAAGCUGUCGCUUGGGGAUGAGCCUGCGUCCUAUUAGUUAGUUGGUGAGGUAACGGCUCACCUAGGCAAUGAUAGGUAGGCGGCCUUAACGGGUGGUCGCCCACACUGGGAUUGAGAUACGGCCCAGACUCCUACGGGAGGCAGCAGUCGAGAAUAGUCUACAAUGGUCGGAAGACUGAUAGUGCGACGCCGCGUGAACGAUGAAUCCCUUCGGGGUGUAAAGUUCUUUUAUAUGUGAGCAGUGCUUCUUAUAUUAACAGUAUGGGGAGAGAGAUAUUAGCAUAUGGAAUAAGCAACGGCUAACUCCGUGCCAGCAGCCGCGGUAAAA